rnacentral:sRNA from 1 species
CCACGAUUCGCGUAAACUUUUGUAUGC